rnacentral:lncRNA from 1 species
GCGUCGGCUUCAGAAGCUGUUAAGGGACUCUAUCAAGUGUUGAGGGUCUGAGGGACUUCCGGAAGCACCUCACAUAUACUGAAUGGAUUCCCGUUCACCGGCAAGGAGAAUUUGAACGUUGACGACAACCGAAGAUUAUGGAGGCUUAUUCAUCUUCCGCAUACUUCUCGUGAUCUCUCAUUCAUUUUCAUUCUCGCCUGAUGAAUAAUCUUCGUUUCAUCAUACAACUAUUGCAGGUCGUGUCUGGGGGGGUCCGUGUGGCUAUUGUUGGGCACGUCUUAGGCCUGAAACAAUAAGCAGAAUGAGUGGUUGGAAUCAGGAAGCUGUUAUCGAAUGGUCCCACGGGCUCAGUUUAUCCCGUCGUCUAGCUUCAACAAGUAGCCAUGAGUGUCCCAAAGCUUCUUCUCUAGCCGUUGCCCCUAGAAAAACCAGAUGUGUACGCCAUAAUUUGUUUGGUCCAGGAUGAAUGCAGCGAGAGAGAAAAACCAACAUGGGCUGGGUAUCUGUAGUGAUGUAGGUGACCUUGAACAAUGCUGGAUCAGCUUCGUGCUGGAAAGUGGGGUUCUGAUAUGAGCGAGAGAAACGGUGUGGAGGGUUCCCAACCUAAACCUGAAUCCAUGCACUUGCUGGGGGGGGACCGGUGUAGCGGGAGAUGGGUUUUGGCUUUCCGAACAAACAAGGGCGGGUCGGCUAAAAAAGAAAAGCUUGGUAACCUGACAUAGAGAAUGGUGUGAGUCAAUCAUGAAGGCCUAGCAGCAGACAUCAGUGGAACUGGGACACCCGGAUGAAGGUGAUGUAGUACCGUAGCGGCUGAACAGUCAGCCCGUUCUGUGUGUGUGUGUGGGAUGUUUUGUCAUUGCUUACGUGGCCGCGUGUAGAGG